rnacentral:tRNA from 1 species
GUUCCCGUAUUUUAAUGGUAGAAUCUAAAUCUUAUAAGUUUAGGACGCGAGUUCGAUUCUCGCCGGGAAUA